AUUGAACGCUGGCGGCAUGCCUUACACAUGCAAGUCGAACGGUAACAGGUUAAGCUGACGAGUGGCGAACGGGUGAGUAAUACAUCGGAACGUGCCCAGUAGUGGGGGAUAGCCCGGCGAAAGCCGGAUUAAUACCGCAUACGACCUAAGGGUGAAAGGGGGGGGAUCGCAAGACCUCUCGCUAUUGGAGCGGCCGAUGUCAGAUUAGGUAGUUGGUGGGGUAAAGGCCCACCAAGCCGACGAUCUGUAGCUGGUCUGAGAGGACGACCAGCCACACUGGGACUGAGACACGGCCCAGACUCCUACGGGAGGCAGCAGUGGGGAAUUUUGGACAAUGGGCGCAAGCCUGAUCCAGCCAUGCCGCGUGCGGGAAGAAGGCCUUCGGGUUGUAAACCGCUUUUGUCAGGGAAGAAAUCCUUUGGGUUAAUACCUCGGGGGGAUGACGGUACCUGAAGAAUAAGCACCGGCUAACUACGUGCCAGCAGCCGCCGUAAGAC
rnacentral:rRNA from 1 species